CCACUUCUGAGGAGUCUCACAAUAGGAUGAAACAGCUGUCCAGUGC
rnacentral:hammerhead_ribozyme from 1 species